rnacentral:rRNA from 1 species
UACAGAGGUCUCAAGCGUUGUUCGGAUUCAUUGGGCGUAAAGGGUGUCGUAGGCGGCGCCGGUAAGUCGGGGUGUGAAAUUUCGAGGCUUAACUCCGAAACUGCAUUCGAUACUGCCGUGCUUGAGGACUGGAGAGGAGACUGGAAUUAGGUGUAGCGUGAAAUGCGUAGAUAUCAUGAGGAAGACCAGUGGCGAAGGCGGGUCUCUGGACAGUUCCUGACACUGAGACACGAAGGCCAGGGGAGCAAACGGG